AUUGAACGCUGGCGGCAGGCCUAACACAUGCAAGUCGAACGGUAACAGGAAGCAGCUUGCUGCUUUGCUGACGAGUGGCGGACGGGUGAGUAAUGUCUGGGAAACUGCCUGAUGGAGGGGGAUAACUACUGGAAACGGUAGCUAAUACCGCAUAACGUCGCAAGACCAAAGAGGGGGACCUUCGGGCCUCUUGCCAUCGGAUGUGCCCAGAUGGGAUUAGCUAGUAGGUGGGGUAACGGCUCACCUAGGCGACGAUCCCUAGCUGGUCUGAGAGGAUGACCAGCCACACUGGAACUGAGACACGGUCCAGACUCCUACGGGAGGCAGCAGUGGGAAUAUUGCACAAUGGGCGCAAGCCUGAUGCAGCCAUGCCGCGUGUAUGAAGAAGGCCUUCGGGUUGUAAAGUACUUUCAGCGGGGAGGAAGGGAGUAAAGUUAAUACCUUUGCUCAUUGACGUUACCCGCAGAAGAAGCACCGGCUAACUCCGUG
rnacentral:rRNA from 1 species